GCGAUCUUCAUGCUGUUGUCUUUUGUCGAUCACAGUAACAGACGUCUCUUGAACUCGCAAUUUACUUAGGCAUGUACUAUUAGGCGAGGAAUUUAACCACAUCAAACUCAAUUCGUCUUAGGAAAAGAAAUCUAUCAGAGCUUGAGAAGGAGACAUUAUAUUGAUCAUAAUUGCUAGAAAUUCAAUCAAAACCACAUACGAGAUAAUGGGUUUCAAAAUAAACUUGUUAUUCAUACUUGUUGUCUUUAACAUGUUUAACAUGGGAUACCUAUGUUGUUCAAAAUCAAUUCCGUCAUCUGCAGUGUGUAACCUCACGUAUGAGAGAGGUCCUUGCAUUGCGACCAUUUGCAGACCAAAUACCGUAGUUUACAAGAAAUAUUAUUAUUCGAACGAAUUGAAAGAUUGUCAAUACCAUUACCCGUCCGACGACUGCGGAGGAAAUGGAAAUAAUUUCGAAACUUAUGCAGACUGCAUAUCAACAUGCAAUCCAAUAUACUUUCGACACCGUAACAAUGGCAAAUAUUUUAAAUCUAUUGAGGAAAAAAAAAUUCUUUGAAACAUAACAUUUUUGAAGGUUUCCCAUGUAUUGAUAUGUAUAUGUCAUAGUUUGAUAUUGAGUUUAAAUUGAAGUAAUAAAGGAAAGACUCUGCGAAGUCUUUAUAAAAUACUUGUAAAAGUCUUUAGUUUUUACAAUAAAUGACUGUGAAAAAAUGGAUUGUACGGAUAUGUAUAUGAAAUAUGUAGAAAUAUAUAUGUAAAUAACGGAAA